AUACUUACCUGGCAGGGGAGAUGCAGACGCCAUAAUCACAAAGGUGGUUUUCCUAGGGCGAGGCUUAUCCAUUGCACUCCAGAUUUGCUGACCCCUGCGAUUUCCCCAAAUGUGGGAAACUCACCUGCAUAGUUUGUGGUAGUGGGGGACUGCAUUCGUGCUCUCCCCUG
rnacentral:snRNA from 1 species